CUUGGUAGAAAGACAUUCUUGUGACUUUUGGAAUUGAGUUGGUGGUGUUUGAAGUGGAUUUGGACAUCUUUUCUUUGAAUUCGGAUUUUCUGCUCCUUUCCCGCCUCUGCUGUCAAUUUCUGCUGUCAAUGUGAUUGGGGCGGUGAUUUGGGCAGAUCGCUGCCCCAAUCGCUUUCUGUGAGUCAGUCCAGUUUUUAGCUUUCUGUCUCUGCUUCCUCCGCUUGAUUUGGGUAGUGAUUUGGGCAAAUCGUCAUGCCUAAAUCAUUUCUGUGUGUUGCCUC
rnacentral:lncRNA from 1 species